rnacentral:rRNA from 1 species
AGUGGCGGACGGGUGAGUAACGCGUGAGAAUCUGCCUUGGGGUCGGGGACAACCACUGGAAACGGUGGCUAAUACCGGAUAAGCCGAUUGGUGAAAGAUUUAUUGCCCGAAGAGGAGCUCGCGUCUGAUUAGCUAGUUGGUGAGGUAAGAGCUCACCAAGGCAGCGAUCAGUAGCUGGUCUGAGAGGAUGAGCAGCCACACUGGGACUGAGACACGGCCCAGACUCCUACGGGAGGCAGCAGUGGGGAAUUUUCCGCAAUGGGCGAAAGCCUGAUGGAGCAAGACCGCGUGAGGGAGGAAGGCUCUUGGGUUGUAAACCUCUUUUCUCAGGGAAGAAGCUCUGACGGUACCUGAGGAAUCAGCCUCGGCUAACUCCGUGCCAGCAGCCGCGGUAAUACGGAGGAGGCAAGCGUUAUCCGGAAUUAUUGGGCGUAAAGCGUCCGCAGGUGGCGAUUCAAGUCUGCUGUCAAAGCACGGGGCUUAACUCCGUAAAGGCAGUGGAAACUGAAUAGCUAGAGUGCCGUAGGGGUAGAGGGAAUUCCCGGUGUAGCGGUGAAAUGCGUAGAGAUCGGGAAGAACAUCGGUGGCGAAAGCGCUCUACUGGACGGCAACUGACACUCAGGGACGAAAGCUAGGGGAGCGAAUGGGAUUAGAUACCCC